ACGCUCGACACCUACGGGAGCAGCAGUGGGGGAUAUUGCACAAUGGGGGAAACCCUGAUGCAGCAACGCCGCGUGAGGGAAGAAGGUUUUCGGAUUGUAAACCUCUGUCCCCGGGGAAGAUAAUGACGGUACCCGGGGAGGAAGCUCCGGCUAACUACGUGCCCGACAGCCGCGGUAAUCUGAGCGGGCUGGCAAGGC
rnacentral:rRNA from 1 species